AAGGAUCAUUAUUGAAUACGAAUUGGAAUUGAUGCUGGCCUUCGGGCAUGUGCUCGCUUCAAGUCUAUUUAUCUUCUCUUGUGCACCUCUUGUAGUCCUUUGAAAAAAGUGGACCCCUCGCAGCAAUGCGGUAUGGGGGAUUUGAGCCUAACCCGCUCUUCCCCUGCUUGCUUUUCUUCAAGGCUAUGUUUUCAUAUACACUAUAAAGUUACAGAAUGUCUUUUAACGGCUGCUUGCAGUCGUUAAACCUAUACAACUUUCAGCAACGGAUCUCUUGGCUCUCCCAUCGAUGAAGAACGCAGCGAAAUGCGAUAAGUAAUGUGAAUUGCAGAAUUCAGUGAAUCAUCGAAUCUUUGAACGCACCUUGCGCUCCUUGGUAUUCCGAGGAGCAUGCCUGUUUGAGUGUCAUGAAAUUCUCAACUUAUCUAGUUUUCUAACUAGCUAAGCUUGGAUCAUGGAAGUUGCUGGCUCAUUUCGAAUCAGCUCUUCUUAAAUGUAUUAGCGAAGACUUUUGCUGACCAUCAUUGGUAUGAUAAUUAUCUAUAUCAUUGGUAACCAGUUCCCUUCUAUGGGGAGGUCUUGCUUCUAAUCGUCGUUUCGACAACUUGACACCUUUGACCUCAAAUCACGGUAGGACUACCCGCUGAACUUAA
rnacentral:rRNA from 1 species